UGCAAGCACAGCUGUAAGUCCCUUUGGAUAAAAGUGUCUGUUAAAUGGCAUAUU
rfam:Salmo salar isolate Sally breed double haploid chromosome ssa05, whole genome shotgun sequence.